rnacentral:rRNA from 1 species
CCUACGGGAGGCAGCAGUGAGGAAUAUUGGUCAAUGGCCGGAAGGCUGAACCAGCCAAGCCGCGUGAAGGACGAAGGUGCCAAGCAUUGUAAACUUCUUUUGUCAAGGGACAAAAUCAGGCUCGAGAGCCUGACCGAGGGUACUUGAAGAAAAAGCAUCGGCUAACUCCGUUCCAGCAGCCGCGGUAAUACGGAGGAUGCGAGCGUUAUCCGGAUUUAUUGGGUUUAAAGGGUGCGUAGGCGGGCUUUUAAGUCAGCGGUAAAAGCCCGGGGCUCAACCCCGGCGAGCCGUUGAAACUGGCGGUCUUGAGAUGUCGAGAGGUAUGCGGAAUGCGCAGUGUAGCGGUGAAAUGCUUAGAUAUUGCGCAGAACUCCGAUUGCGAAGGCAGCAUACCGGCGGCGAUCUGACGCUGAGGCACGAAAGCGUGGGUAUCGAACAGGAUUAGAUACCCCAGUAGUC